CCUACGGGCGGCAGCAGUGAGGAAUAUUGGUCAAUGGACGCAAGUCUGAACCAGCCAUGCCGCGUGCAGGAAGACGGCUCUAUGAGUUGUAAACUGCUUUUGUACGAGGGUAAACGCAGAUACGUGUAUCUGUCUGAAAGUAUCGUACGAAUAAGGAACGGCUAACUCCGUUCCAGCAGCCGCGGUCAUACGGAGGAUUCAAGCGUUAUCCGGAUUUAUUGGGUUUAAAGGGUGCGUAGGCGGUCGGAUAAGUUAGACGUGAAAUCCCGGGGCUCAACUUCGGAAUUGCCUCUGAUACUGUUUGGCUAGAGAGUAGUUGCGGUAGGCGGAAUGUAUGGUGUAGCGGUGAAAUGCUUAGAGAUCAUACAGAACACCGAUUGCGAAGGCAGCUUACCGAGCUACUUCUGACGUUGAGGCACGAAAGCGUGGGGAGCAAACAGGAUUAGAUACCCUAGUAGUC
rnacentral:rRNA from 1 species